rnacentral:lncRNA from 1 species
CAAAAAAAAAAAAAAAAAGCCCUUGAUUCAAAUUGUAUAAAGAGUGACAUUAUCAAAGUGGCAGAGUAAAAGACACCAGCCUCUGCUCCUCAACAAAUGUGGACAAUUAGUCAUUCAUUGAAAACAAAACAAAACCAAGAAAAAGCUCAAUAAUCUACUUAGGAAACUUCAGCAACAUAAUGGAACAAAAAACCUGAGAAUAACCACACAAAAAGUGAAGGAAGAGCAGCUUUAUUUUGCCUGCAUCAUUUCAUCCCCCAGGCAGCACUGCUCAAUAUCAAGAGGAAACUUCCCAGCUUGAAGGAGUUCCUCAGACCUGGAAAAAGAAAAUGAAAUUCUGUCUCUUCAGAAACGAAAACACUGGACAAAUAGCAUUUCUGCAGCAAGCAAACAUCGUGGCAGAUAAAAGUGAGAAUGAAACACAGAUUUGGGAAGCAAAAUUAAAGGCCACCUUUGAGACACAUGCUUCUCUUUACUUUGGAAGGGAAAGAUGCUCAAAAGACAUACAUGAGACAAAGAAACUUCCAUGUAAUGUUUAACAUGAAAGAACAGCUUCUAUUCUGAGGUAUAGGUAAGUAAAAAUAGGGUGUGAAUGUUCCAUACAAGAAGACUCAUGUGUUUUGUUUGUUUGUUUGUUUUUUUGUUUGUUUUUUGGUCUUUUUGUCUUUAUAGGACUGCAACUGUGUCAUACGGAGGUUCCCAGACUAGGGGUCUAAUGAGAGCUGUUGUUGCCAGCCUAUACCACAUCCAUAGCAACACCAGAUCCAAGCUGCCUCUGUGACCUACACCACAGCUCACGGCAAUGCCAGAUUCUUAACCCACUGAUUGAGGCCAGGGAUCAAAUCUGCAACGUCAUGGUUUCUAGGCGGAUUCGUUUCUGCUGCUGCACCACGACGGGAACUCCGAAUCAUGUGUUUUUAAAGUUCUUAUGAUGAAAUAAUUUUAAAUUCAUGGAAGAGUUGCAAUGAAGUUGGAGAGAUUUCUCUACCUUUCACCAAAUUUCACAUUUCGUAUUGUACAUGUGUAAUAAAUUAUCUGUUUGAAUCCCUUCCUGAGAUUUCCCAACAUAAUGAGAAUGACUUUAAUUUGCACUCUUUGCGAUGUAGUAUUAUAUGAGUUUUGAUAAGUGCAUAGUCAUGUGUCCACCACCUACUACCAUAAUGAAGAGUUCUAUCAUCCUAAAAUUUUCUCUGGGCUGCUAUUGUGUAGUCAGCUCUAACCCCUUCUCUCAAUACUUACCGUCCACCGAUCAUCAUUCCAUCUCAUAGUUUUGUGUUUUUUUAAUGUCACAUAAAUACAGGCAUGCAUGUGGCAUAUAGCCUUUGGUGUCUGACUUCUUUCACUUAGCAAAACACUUUCAAGGUCCAUCUAUGCUUUUGCAUGAAUUAAUUACCCAUUCUUUUUUUAUUUCAGAGUGUUGUUCCAUUGUAAAGACAUACUAUAAUUUGUUUAUCUAUUACCAUGUUCAGAGAUAUCUUGGUUGUUUUCAGAUUUUAUGAACAAACCUGCUAUAAACCCUGUUCAGAGGGUUGUUACAGAGAUGGUAGUUUGUGUUGGGUAUAGAAGAUUUAAUUUCAGCUCGCCACGUAGAAACACUAAUUGAGAGACAUGAAGGUUGGAAAACUAAUGAACAAAAAUAAAAGAAAAAUGAGUUUCAGCCUAGAUCUUACCACCCAUUGCUGGAAAGGAUAUUCUGAGUCUCAAUUUCUUUAUCUGUAUAGGACUAUUGCAAUAAUCAAGCAAGAUGCUGCACAUAAAACAUCUUGUAUGUGGCUGUGCUUUGUUGGCCAUCAUAGUAACUGAGCUGAGUUCAUCAAGCACUUUUUGAGCACACCCAAUAUGCCAAGUGCUGCAUUGGUAGAAAUAGCAAAAACAGAUGACACAAUUCCUAGAUGUAAGCCCAGUAUUUUACGGGAAACAGAUCUGAAAAAGGAGAAACACAGGAAGUG